rnacentral:rRNA from 1 species
GACGAACGCUGGCGGCGUGCUUAACACAUGCAAGUCGAACGGAAAGGCCCUGCUUUUGUGGGGUGCUCGAGUGGCGAACGGGUGAGUAACACGUGAGUAACCUGCCCUUGACUUUGGGAUAACUUCAGGAAACUGGGGCUAAUACCGGAUAGGAGCUCCUGCUGCAUGGUGGGGGUUGGAAAGUUUCGGCGGUUGGGGAUGGACUCGCGGCUUAUCAGCUUGUUGGUGGGGUAGUGGCUUACCAAGGCUUUGACGGGUAGCCGGCCUGAGAGGGUGACCGGCCACAUUGGGACGGAGAGACGGCCCAGACUCCUACGGGAGGCAGCAGUGGGGAAUAUUGCACAAUGGGCGGAAGCCUGAUGCAGCAACGCCGCGUGCGGGAUGACGGCCUUCGGGUUGUAAACCGCUUUCGCCUGUGACGAAGCGUGAGUGACGGUAAUGGGUAAAGAAGCACCGGCUAACUACGUG